UUUUCUGUCUGCUCCACUUACCCCAAUUCUCAGAAAAAAAAUAAUAAAAGUAUUAAAAACCCUAAGAACAGAUGAUGAUAGAUGGGUUAUUUCUCACAUUUCGGAAAUGUAUUAUAUAAAUAUACAUAUAUUUUAAGAUUAUGCCUUGAUAAAGUAAGUAACAGGUAGAAUUUCCCAUUAUGUGAGAGAUGUAUUUCAGGACUUCUUUAAAAAAUAGAUACAGAGAUAGCACUGACAAUUAAUCAUUUUUGAAGGCUGUUGAAUGGUACUAAGUAAUGAUUCUCUUAAAACUCAUUGUUGGAAGUUCACACAGAUGAUGAAUACCACUUCCUUAACAUAUUGUAUGAAUUUUUAAAAAUUGA
rnacentral:lncRNA from 1 species